GCCUAUCAUGCAAGUCGAGCGCGCCCUUCGGGGUGAGCGGCGGACGGGUGAGUACCCUUUGGGAAUAUGCCCUUCUCUAAGGAAUAGCCUCUGGAAACGGAGAGUAAUACCUUAUACGCCCUUCGGGGGAAAGAUUUAUCGGAGAAGGAUUAGCCCGCGUUAGAUUAGGUAGUUGGUGGGGUAAUGGCCUACCAAGCCUACGAUCUAUAGCUGGUUUGAGAGGAUGAUCAGCCACACUGGGACUGAGACACGGCCCAGACUCCUACGGGAGGCAGCAGUAGGGAAUCUUAGACAAUGGGGGCAACCCUGAUCUAGCCAUGCCGCGUGUGUGAUGAAGGCCCUAGGGUCGUAAAGCACUUUCGCCAGAGAUGAUAAUGACAGUAUCUGGUAAAGAAACCCCGGCUAACUCCGUGCCAGCAGCCGCGGUAAUACGGAGGGGGUUAGCGUUGUUCGGAAUUACUGGGCGUAAAGCGCACGUAGGCGGAUUAGUAAGUUAGAGGUGAAAUCCCAGGGCUCAACCCUGGAACUGCCUUUAAUACUGCUAGUCUUGAGUUCGAGAGAGGUAAGUGGAAUUCCGAGUGUAGAGGUGAAAUUCGUAGA
rnacentral:rRNA from 1 species